GUGCCAGCAGCCGCGGUAAUACGUAGGUGGCAAGCGUUGUCCGGAAUUAUUGGGCGUAAAGCGCGCGCAGGCGGCCUUUUAAGUCUGAUGUGAAAGCCCACGGCUCAACCGUGGAAGGUCAUUGGAAACUGAAAGGCUUGAGUACAGAAGAGGAAAGCGGAAUUCCACGUGUAGCGGUGAAAUGCGUAGAGAUGUGGAGGAACACCAGUGGCGAAGGCGGCUUUCUGGUCUGUAACUGACGCUGAGGCGCGAAAGCGUGGGGAGCAAACAGGAUUAGAAACCCCUGUAGUCC
rnacentral:rRNA from 1 species